CGAGCAUGGCGCCGGAAGGUAGCACCAUGUCUCAAGAGUUUAGGUUGACGAAAUUUCUAAUAGACGACACAUGUAGAUCUACUUAUAAAACAGUUGAGCACAAAGUGCAAGUGUAGUGUCUGCUUUUGCAUCUGAAACAAAAUUUCCUCAUCAUUAUAAAACAAACCAAACAUCAAAACUUGAGAUGACGCU